rnacentral:rRNA from 1 species
UGGGGAAUAUUGGACAAUGGACCAAGAGUCUGAUCCAGCAAUUCUGUGUGCACGAUGACGUUUUUCGGAAUGUAAAGUGCUUUCAGUUGGGAAGAAAAAAAUGACGGUACCAACAGAAGAAGUGACGGCUAAAUACGUGCCAGCAGCCGCGGUAAUACGUAUGUCACGAGCGUUAUCCGGAUUUAUUGGGCGUAAAGCGCGUCUAGGUGGUUAUGUAAGUCUGAUGUGAAAAUGCAGGGCUCAACUCUGUAUUGCGUUGGAAACUGUGUAACUAGAGUACUGGAGAGGUAAGCGGAACUACAAGUGUAGAGGUGAAAUUCGUAGAUAUUUGUAGGAAUGCCGAUGGGGAAGCCAGCUUACUGGACAGAUACUGACGCUGAAGCGCGAAAGCGUGGGUAGCAAACAGGAUUAGAUACCCUGGUAGUCCACGCCGUAAACGAUGAUUACUGGGUGUUGGGGGUCGAACCUCAGCGCCCAAGCAAACGCGAUAAGUAAUCCGCCUGGGGAGUACGUACGCAAGUAUG